GCGGCGGAGGCCCUCGGCUGUACUGCGCAUUGAACACCUAGCCACAUAGGCCGAGUCUGCGCCGCGACGCGCCGCGCUGAGCUCUGCGUCUGUACGUGUACGCUGCUGCAGCCCAAAUCUCAAUGGUCCAGAGAGAGAGAGAGAGAGAGAAGAACGAAGAACAAGCAGAAGAAGAAGAAGAAGAAGAAGAGGAGGAAGAAGAAAGCAUUUGAGUGGUUUUCACUCCUCGUAGCUGGCUUUCACGCUGAUCAUCGCAAGCGAAAAAGCAAAAAAGCAGAAGAAAGGUUAAAGGUGCGAAUGAAUGCGAUUGAAGGAAGGAAGAAUCUGAUGAGUUUGUGUGUGCAUUUAAAGCUUUUGUAGCUACGAAACCCUCUUUCUCUAAUCCCAACGAUUCUAUUCGAUUCCAUUAUUUCCAAUCCAAUCCACUUUUUUCUUCUUCUUCUUCUCCGUGAUCCGUUUCUUUCUCUUUCUACGGGACUUGAUUGAAAGUUAUGGAAAGCGACUGCUCGACGUGAUCGUUUUCCAUGCCAAUCUUUUGCCUCUUUCGUGUCCUCUAUAAUCCCUGUUAUGAGACAAGAUCUCGUGAUUCCGCAGUGACUGAGCUUCUUGUACUUGUUUGACCCUAGUCAUUUGCUGUGAAAGUCCGGUGGAUUGGUGUUUUCUGUACCGGAGAUGUUGACGUGUAUAGCAUGCUCGAAGCAGCUCAACAAUGGAUCUCUGCACCAGCAAGAGGGAGAAGAUUCCGUUGCUACACCAAGGACUAAACAAACAAUCAAGGCUCUAACUGCUCAGAUCAAGGACAUCGCACUGAAGGCCUCGGGCGCUUACAAGAAUUGCAAGCCAUGUUCAGGCUCAUCGAGCGACAACCGCAAGUAUAAAUAUGCAGAAUCUGAUUCUGCAUCAGAUUCGGCGAGGUUCCAUUGUUCCUACAGGCGGACUGGGAGUGCAAACUCCAUACCAAGGCAAUGGGGAAAGGAAAUGGAGUCCCGAUUGAAAGCUCUGUCAAGUGGGGAAGUGAGUCCAGCUUCUGUAAGUGGACGAACUGAGAUUGUUUUCUUGGAAGAAGACGAACCAAAGGAAUGGGUAGCACAAGUUGAGCCUGGUGUGCUUAUCACUUUCGUUUCAUUUCCACAGGGAGGAAACGAUCUCAAACGGAUUCGUUUCAGCAGGGAACUGUUCAACAAAUGGCAAGCUCAAAGAUGGUGGGCGGAAAACUAUGAGAAGGUUAUGGAAUUGUAUAAUGUCCAGCGUUUCAAUAGCCAAGCUGUUCCUCGUCCACCUUCCCCUCCAUUAUGGGAAGACGAUGCCUCGAAGACUCAAUCUGCCAAGGACAGCCCUGCUACUCCACCUUUGACAAAUGAAUGGCCUCCUCGAAAUUCCGAUCGACCAUUGGGAAACUCGUCAUCGGAAUCACUUGAUCACCACCCUAACCGACCCCCACAUUGUUAUGAUUCAGGUGGUUUAGCUCCAUCGGUUAAACCCUCUAGCGAAAAUGACGCAAAGAUUGAGACAUCAUCUGUAGAUGGUUCUGUGAGGACCAGUGAGGGAGAUCAGUCAGAAGAAGAGCUUUCUGUAAGUAAUGCUAGUGAUUUGGAGACUGAAUGGAUUGAAGAGGAUGAACCAGGAGUCUAUAUCACUAUUCGGGCUCUGCCAGGUGGCUCGAGGGAGCUAAGACGCAUUCGAUUCAGUCGAGAAAAGUUCGGAGAAAUGCACGCGAGAUUAUGGUGGGAAGAGAACCGAACGAGGAUACAAGAACAGUAUUUGUGACGAUGUUCUGAUUGUUCGUCGUGAGCCGCUGGGAUCUCGAAGAUGUUACAUGUUAACGGCCGUAGCAAGCUUCUGUUCUCUGAGCAAUGGUGGAUCUCUGCACCAACAAGAGGGAGACGGGAGCUAAAGCAAGCCGUUGAGGAACUUAUCUCUCAGAGAAGUUUCAUCUAUUUUCCGGUUACGAAGAACGUGAGCCUAUGGAGCCUGUGUACUUGUGAUUUGUUUCCAUAGGAGGUAAAUGAUUUCAGACGAAUUAAUUUCAGGUAUUGUUGGCAUUGAGCUGUUGGUGAAUACUCCGAUUUUUCUGAAUGUGGAUCUCAUAUGCUUGUGUUCUUGUUCUGGUAGUGAAUCUACAGAAAUUAGCAACUAGAAAUAGGAAAUUUUGGGAUUGUGAAUUGACAUUUUGUUUGCUUCCAAGUGCGUCCCUCAAUGGGACCUAUCUCUCGGAGUGGAAUUCCUUUAAAAAGCUUCCACUUAUAAUUCUACUGGCAAGUUAGUCCUGUAAAUACAUUUGGUAACUUCUGUCACUAGCUCUGCCUCUUGAGAAAACUAGAAUACUCGUGCGGUAGAGCUAUGAAUAACAGUAAUCUAGCUGAGACAUUGCCUCAUGUUAUUCUUAUUUCAAUUUCUGGGCCUCUAAAUUCAAUCAUUCCCUUUUGAAUCUGAAUGAUGUAUGUACAAGCUUGUUUUUCCAUUCUAUCAGCUGUAAGUCGUCAAUAAUAGAUAGCAAGCUCAAAGAUGGUGGAUAAGCAGUUCACCUUCCAACCCUUCCAAGAUCUGAAGCUAAAGAUGAGUUUAAAUCUAUUACCUGUGAUUUGGAGGUAUAUAUUUGAAUGAGAUGGUUGUGAUUUUACACUCUUAUCAUGUACUCUCUGGUGCUUCCAUUCUAUCAGAAUUUAAAAAAUUGUUCCCUUUUGUUAUGCUUCAAGCAGGAGUUUAAUGCUAUUUUAGAUCUUCAACUCCCCCUGGUCUUCCUCAAGAUAGUAAUCAUUCAUCCAUCGAAGGGCGACCCCUAGUAGACGCGUUUAAAAAAUCUUGAGGGGAAGUUCGGAAGGGAAAGCCCAAAGAAGACAAUAUCGGCUAGCGGUGGGCUUGGGCGGUUACACUACAUCCAUAUCGGGGCAGAAAAGGGAGUUUAGAUGUGUUCGCUUCAGGUAUUGAAGAUUUUAAUUAUGAAAUUGCCUGUUUUAUGCUCCACAUGUAGGACUCCAUUAGAUUUACUUUAUUAUAUCAUCAGCAGCCUCUUACUAGUUUGUGAAUAACAACCUAAACUUUUUGAAA